CCAGCUGCUACCACCAGGGCAUUGAAGCCCCUUCAAGAGCAAACUAAGCAGCCAAGAUACUUAAUCAUACAUGCAGAUGCCAGCUACUCCAGAGACACCAUCGUGCUGACAUUCAGCCCGGGUGAUGUUGCUACCCAGAGCACCUGCCGCCUCCGUGUCGGCCUGGAACACUCCACCCAGAUUUUUCCUUCAAGGCCCUGUAAGAUGUGAGAAAGGAGAAGCCUGAAAUGGCUCCUGACACUGGGGAGUCCUGCUCACCAGGCAUGCUUCCUACUGCCUAGCCAACUAUAGCUGGGUGGAGGCCUGGAAUCCCCAGAUCACUGUCUGAGGAG